rnacentral:lncRNA from 1 species
CAUUAUGGGAUAAGGCCAAUCAAAAGGAAAAAAAAAAAUCCUGCAAGAGCACCAAGAUAUAUAUCAUAAAGGAACCUUUUUAUUUAUUUAUUUAUUUUGGUACAUUGGAAGAGAUUAUAACCUCUUAAAUAGAAACAAAAUAAUGAUAUGCAACUCCUAACACAUCCAUUUCUAACAAAUCUCGCAUCUCUCGAGAACUUAUAACCUGGAUGGAUCAAAUGCUACAUUUGGCCAUCCAAUGUACACAUUGAUUGCGCUCCCCCCAAAUAUGGCUCAGCUAGCGUCCCAACUUCUUUGCUUCAACUCUCAAAUGUGAAUAUAACCACAAUUUACAAAAAUCACAAAAAAACAUACAACCACAAUUUAUCCCCUCUGUCCACUCCGACUAAAGGUACUAUAACUACAAUUUUCUUCUUCUACAAGAAACAUAAAUUAAUAAAGCUAAUACGAAACAGUAGCAAUUAAAAAGCUGUAAAUAUAGCAAGUAGGACAAAUAUGCUAGG